CUGCAAUGAUGUACAAAUUUUUCGUCAACAGUAUAUCACCCUCAGUGAAUGUUGACAGACUUCUCUGAGCAG